CAAUGUAGACGAAGCUUUCAGCUGACAGAGAAAAUAAAAACACAGCUUGUGGUUGUGUGAACUGAUCUGUGAUAAAAAUGUUUGCAUAAAAUUACAUGCAAAUGACUGGGAAGUACAAACAUACCCACAAGAAAGUCUGUUCCAGUCAGGACCAGAAGCAGAAGUGCUGGAAAUAUAGGAAGCAAACUCGACCUCAAGAAAGUUACAGAGUAAGGGUGUGAGCCUCUUUCAGCUGAAAUUGGUGAUGAAGUUCCCAGUUAUCUCUCUGGGCAUGGGAUCGACCCCUGGUUUUGCAAACAAAGGAAUUCUGUCUAGCUCAGAUAAGAUGUAGGCCUACAGGAAAGCACACAGAAUGAAACUGCUCUCCAAUGGCGGCUUUGAGGAGUGAACUUUACAAACAAGAAAAAACAAACACAGUCAAAAUCAAGCCUUUUCCUUUGUCACCUUUUGGCUGUGGAGGCCCAGCUCAUACCUGAGACUUCCUUGCCUUCCUUCCCUUCGUCUGACAAUCAUGUUGCGCAUUGGCCUGGACAACUCCCGGGAGUUUGAAGGACACACUGAUUUAUUCAUUGUUGUAGUGCCGCAUUAAUGAAGGGCACUGGUCUUUCCAACUCGAUUGUGGUGGAAAAUCUGAAUGUUGAAAACUCUCCUUCAGUUACAGUGUGCAAAUCUGGAACUUUCUUUCAGUUCAACGCCUCCAUUUCCAUCGUGCUCAGGAAGCAGCUUGUGAGCAGGGGAUGAAUGUCUGCAUUGCUCAGGGUCGGUUUGCUCCAUGGGGCAGGCUCGCUCAGUGAGGCACUUGCCGCAAUGCCUCCUGUGCUGAGCUGCUCAGCCACCUUCACCUGUGCUAGCGGAACCUCCU
rnacentral:lncRNA from 1 species